rnacentral:lncRNA from 1 species
GGCUUUCCGGGGCCGACUUAAUUUCAGCACCAGGAAACCGGGCAGCUUCUCUGGUAACGGGGGGAGCUCGCCCUUGCACCCUGAUGGGGGAACAGAGGAUGGUCUGACGCUUCUGGAGACCUGCCCCUCAUUUAAUGGACGUUUCGACGAAUUCUCUUCUAGAUCAGCAGGUGAAAUGAAACCACAUACACAAAUCUGUAAUUCCCUGUUAACAGGUGAGAUGGCCAGUCAGUAGGACCGUGGGGGAACACGCGCCGGCCAAGAUGACAUUGCUGUGCUCUUUCCAGACUUCUGUGAGAAGCAUUGUGCCAAGCGUUUUAUGUACAUUAUAUCACGCCAUCUUUCAUCCCUAAGACAUGGGUGUUAUUGGGCCCAGGUGACACAUGAGGAAACUGAGACCCAGAGAUUGGCAAGGAUGUAACUAGCCCAAGGGUGAAUGAAGCUGUAAGUCAACCCCACCUCCGUCCAACUCCAAAUUUCAUGUUCCUGACGUGCCUGGGUGGGAGGUGGGCCCUUGGGAAUCAGAUCCUGCCUCUCUCCAGGAGGACCAGAAGAGGCCCUGGAGAAGUAGGAAGCCCAGAUGUUAUGGCUUGGCUCAAGUGAGGGGUAGAAGCUGGGUGGGGGCUCCCAGGGGAGGGGCAGAGGGUGGCAAAGAAGACUGGAGCGGUUGUGGUCUAGUGCUGUGUGGAAGACUAGUGAUUUUGUUGUUCUGAUGUAUUAUGACAACAAGUCACAGCUUCCUCAUAGCGUGGACUCCCGUCGGCCUCCGCCUGAGACGGACGAGCAAGUGUGGGGGACAGGGGAUCAUAGAGGAUCACUUACAUCCGGGGAGAGGACCAAGGAUAAGGGAGGGAAUAAAACAGGGACACGCGCCCCAGGAGCAUACAGCGACGUGCCAUAGAUGGUAUUGGCCAUGUCACUUGUACACCCCCACAGGCCGGGAAUUACAAAACAUCUGACUCAGAGCCCAGGGUCUUUAACCAUCUUAC